rnacentral:rRNA from 1 species
UACGUAGGGUGCAGGCGUUAAUCGGAAUUACUGGGCGUAAAGCGCACGCAGGCGGUUUGUUAAGUCAGAUGUGAAAUCCCCGCGCUUAACGUGGGAACUGCAUUUGAAACUGGCAAGCUAGAGUCUUGUAGAGGGGGGUAGAAUUCCAGGUGUAGCGGUGAAAUGCGUAGAGAUCUGGAGGAAUACCGGUGGCGAAGGCGGCCCCCUGGACAAAGACUGACGCUCAGGUGCGAAAGCGUGGGGAGCAAACAGG